UACGUAGGGUGCGAGCGUUGUCCGGAAUUACUGGGCGUAAAGAGCUCGUAGGUGGUUUGUCGCGUUGUUCGUGAAAACUCACAGCUUAACUGUGGGCGUGCGGGCGAUACGGGCAGACUGGAGUACUGCAGGGGAGACUGGAAUUCUCGGUGUAGCGGUGAAAAUGCGUAGAUAUCAGGAGGAACACCAGUGGCGAAGGCGGUGCUCUGGGCCGGAACUGACGCUGAUGAGCGAAAGCGUGGGGAGCAAACAGG
rnacentral:rRNA from 1 species